UGAGGGCUGUGAUGACCCCGGAGCCAGACGCAGGGCGAGCGACAGUGUUUCCCUCCCUCUCUCGCUCUCUCGCGCUCUCUCUCUCUCUCUCUCUCUCUGGGUGUGGUUUGGGUUUCAACUUGUGUGAAUGAUGUGGACUCACAGCUUUGACUCAGUCCACACCCUUCGACUCAAAGCGGAGUUUGGAGGAGGUGGAGCGAGGGAGCGUUUGGAGCUCACUUUGAGUUUGGACUUGGGCUCAGACGCCUGUGUUUGUCUUUGUGCUUCACUCUCUGACUUCAGGAUCCCUUCGGUUUUUCUAACUGCUUCCACUGAAUGGAGGAGAACGACUUCAUUCUGAGGACACGAGAGGAGAGACGGGUAAGAGAGGAGGAGGGCAGGAGGCCUCACUCAUACAGGAAGGAAGUACAGGAAAUGUCCCAUCGGGAAAACAAGUAGCGGCGUAAUUGUGGACCCUGAGCUCAUUUAGCGUCUGGGUGGUCGUGAGGGGAAAUCUGCCUGCGUGCGUGUGUGCAAGAAAUAAACAUGCAGACGCUUCGUGGAGGAGGGGAUAAAAAGACUGAAUGAGGCUGAGAAACGUGCAGCUGUGAUAAAGGUCUGUGUUCUGUCGUUAGUUCUCAAAGCAGACUCGCUGACGUGGACACACAUUGACCUGAUGCUCGACUAGUGAGUGGAGACGUGUGACUGGUGAUUCUUCACUGUCACUGUCAGAAACGGCCGCCUUAUCGGCUCCAGACUUCCUGCUGCCGUCGAUCUGUGGCUGGUUUCCUCUUGUUGUGCCGAUAACAGGUCGAUGCAGGUGCCUGGGCUCAACCUCCUGUGCCUACUGAGCUGAUAACAGUUAGACCUUAAACAAGCACUGGCUCAGUUCAGCAGGAACCGGAGUUAGGCCCUCUAAAGGCCCGGAGAGGGACGGCACCGGCCGCAGUCGGAGCCGAGGACCUCCGUCCGUAGAACGCGUGAUGGAGGAAAUCUGCUCCUGCUGGUUUGGUAUUAAUGGAACAUCACAGGAGCAGAGGUUUUCCAGCUGAACUCGUCCCAUCGGAGCCACUCCACUGACAUUUAAGUUACUUAAAUCAAAAAAUGUAUGGUACAAUCUGUGUUCAGAAUUUUCAUAAUUUUGCAUUAUUAUUAAACAUUUGAAUAAAACCUACAACUUGAUAUGCAGUCAUAUUGUCCAGACGUGUGACCACAGGCUGCUCAUAAUGACAUGAGUGCAACCCCACGGCCGCUGAAGCCAUGGUGGAUCAGGGUGGGACAGAGAUUCACCUGCUUUUAUUGAAAGGCUCUAACCUUAUAUCACAUUUUGAUUGUUUACAUGUGUAAAUCUGGCUCAAAACGUGUUAAAUAUGACAUUUGAGACUGGAUGUGUCUCAUAUAAAACAUCAUUCAUACAUCUAAAUAAAUAAACACUGCAUAAAGCCUGUCUUUUUCUGAAUAAAUGUAAUAAUAAUGUAAGAGCUUUUCAAAGGUAAACCAAGACGUUGUGUAUAUUGUAGUGAAUGUAUUGAUUGGUGUGAGAAUAAAUCAGCUGCUGUGAGUUUUGCGACUGGAAGUAUAAUAAUAAAAACAUGAAGGGGA